rnacentral:rRNA from 1 species
GAUGAACGCUGGCGGCGUGCCUAAUACAUGCAAGUCGAGCGAACGGACGAGAAGCUUGCUUCUCUGAUGUUAGCGGCGGACGGGUGAGUAACACGUGGAUAACCUACCUAUAAGACUGGGAUAACUUCGGGAAACCGGAGCUAAUACCGGAUAAUAUUUUGAACCGCAUGGUUCAAAAGUGAAAGACGGUCUUGCUGUCACUUAUAGAUGGAUCCGCGCUGCAUUAGCUAGUUGGUAAGGUAACGGCUUACCAAGGCAACGAUGCAUAGCCGACCUGAGAGGGUGAUCGGCCACACUGGAAUUGAGACACGGUCCAGACUCCUACGGGAGGCAGCAGUAGGGAAUCUUCCGCAAUGGGCGAAAGCCUGACGGAGCAACGCCGCGUGAGUGAUGAAGGUCUUCGGAUCGUAAAACUCUGUUAUUAGGGAAGAACAUAUGUGUAAGUAACUGUGCACAUCCUGACGGUACCUAAUCAGAAAGCCACGGCUAACUACGUG